rnacentral:piRNA from 1 species
AGAAAAUGCGUAGUUUUGAAUUCUUGG